UUNUGAACUGGGUGACUAGAGUGUGUCAGAGGGAGGUAGAAUUCCACGUGUAGCAGUGAAAUGCGUAGAGAUGUGGAGGAAUACCGAUGGCGAAGGCAGCCUCCUGGGAUAACACUGACGUUCAUGCCCGAAAGCGUGGGUAGCAAACAGGAUUAGAUACCCUGGUAGUCCACGCCCUAAACGAUGUCGAUUAGCUGUUGGGCAGCAUGACUGCUUAGUAGCGAAGCUAACGCGUGAAAUCGACCGCCUGGGGAGUACGGUCGCAAGAUUAAAACUCAAAGGAAUUGACGGGGACCCGCACAAGCGGUGGAUGAUGUGGAUUAAUUCGAUGCAACGCGAAGAACCUUACCUGGUCUUGACAUGUACGGAACCCUCCAGAGACGGAGGGGUGCCUUCGGGAGCCGUAACACAGGUGCUGCAUGGCUGUCGUCAGCUCGUGUCGUGAGAUGUUGGGUUAAGUCCCGCAACGAGCGCAACCCUUGUCAUUAGUUGCCAUCAUUAAGUUGGGCACUCUAAUGAGACUGCCGGUGACAAGCCGGAGGAAGGUGGGGAUGACGUCAAGUCCUCAUGGCCCUUAUGACCAGGGCUUCACACGUCAUACAAUGGUCGGUACAGAGGGUAGCCAAGCCGCGAGGUGGAGCCAAUCUCACAAAACCGAUCGUAGUCCGGAUUGCACUCUGCAACUCGAGUGCAUGAAGUCGGAAUCGCUAGUAAUCGCAGGUCAGCAUACUGCGGUGAAUACGUUCCCGGGUCUUGUACACACCGCCCGUCACACCAUGGGAGUGGGGGGUACCAGAAGUAGGUAGGGUAACCGCAAGGAGCCCGCUUACCACGGU
rnacentral:rRNA from 1 species